UAGGGAAUCUUCGGCAAUGGACGAAAGUCUGACCGAGCAACGCCGCGCGAGUGAAGAAGGUUUUCGGAUCGUAAAACUCUGUUGUUAGAGAAGAACAAGGACGUUAGUAACUGAACGUCCCCUGACGGUAUCUAACCAGAAAGCCACGGCUAACUACGUGCCAGCAGCCGCGGUAAUACGUAGGUGGCAAGCGUUGUCCGGAUUUAUUGGGCGUAAAGCGAGCGGAGGCGGUUUCUUAAGUCUGAUGUGAAAGCCCCCGGCUCAACCGGGGAGGGUCAUUGGAAACUGGGAGACUUGAGUGCAGAAGAGGAGAGUGGAAUUCCGUGUGUAGCGGUGAAAUGCGUAGAUAUAUGGAGGAACACCAGUGGCGAAGGCGGCUCUCUGGUCUGUAGCUGACGCUGAGGCUCGAAAGCGUGGGGAGCAAACAGG
rnacentral:rRNA from 1 species